rnacentral:misc_RNA from 1 species
CCAAACUUGGUCAUUUAGAGGAAGUAAAAGUCGUAACAAGGUUUCCGUAGGUGAACCUGCGGAAGGAUCAUUAUAAAUAUGUCACUGCCAUUUCUCUUCGGAGGAUGUGAGAGCAAACUACUCUUCUCACAAACUUAAAGGUCGCUUGCGGCUGGAUGGUGCGUGUAGAGUCCCAACCCUUUGUGAACCUAUAACCUUUUUGCUUCGGCAGCGCGUCUUCAUAUGAAGGCGGUAAGGCUGCCGAUAGCCCAUUAUAAACUAUUUAUUUAAAAUCUUGAAGUCUGAUUUCUGAAAAAUUAUAACAAGUUAAAACUUUCAGCAACGGAUCUCUUGGUUCCCACAUCGAUGAAGAACGCAGC